GAUGAACGCUGGCGGCGUGCCUAAUACAUGCAAGUCGAGCGAACAGACGAGGAGCUUGCUCCUCUGACGUUAGCGGCGGACGGGUGAGUAACACGUGGAUAACCUACCUAUAAGACUGGGAUAACUUCGGGAAACCGGAGCUAAUACCGGAUAAUAUAUUGAACCGCAUGGUUCAAUAGUGAAAGACGGUCUUGCUGUCACUUAUAGAUGGAUCCGCGCCGCAUUAGCUAGUUGGUAAGGUAACGGCUUACCAAGGCAACGAUGCGUAGCCGACCUGAGAGGGUGAUCGGCCACACUGGAACUGAGCCACGGUCCAGACUCCUACGGGAGGCAGCAGUAGGGAAUCUUCCGCAAUGGGCGAAAGCCUGACGGAGCAACGCCGCGUGAGUGAUGAAGGUCUUCGGAUCGUAAAACUCUGUUAUUAGGGAAGAACAAAUGUGUAAGUAACUAUGCACGUCUUGACGGUACCUAAUCAGAAAGCCACGGCUAACUACGUG
rnacentral:rRNA from 1 species